GUGGGGAAUUUUGGACAAUGGGCGCAAGCCUGAUCCAGCAAUGCCGCGUGCAGGAAGAAGGCCUUCGGGUUGUAAACUGCUGUUGUACGGAACGAAACGGUCCUGGCUAAUACCUGGGGCUAAUGACGGUACCGUAAGAAUAAGCACCGGCUAACUACGUGCCAGCAGCCGCGGUAAUACGUAGGGUGCGAGCGUUAAUCGGAAUUACUGGGCGUAAAGCGUGCGCAGGCGGUGCUGUAAGACAGGAGUGAAAUCCCCGGGCUCAACCUGGGAAUUGCGCUUGUGACUGCAGGGCUGGGGUACGGCAGAGGGGGAGGGAAUUCCGCGUGUAGCAGUGAAAUGCGUAGAUAUGCGGAGGAACACCGAUGGCGAAGGCAGUCCCCUGGGCCUGUACUGACGCUCAUGCACGAAAGCGUGGGGAGCAAACAGGAUUAGAAACCCCUGUAGUCC
rnacentral:rRNA from 1 species